GUCCACGCCGUAAACGAUGUCAACUAGCCGUUGGGGGGGUUAAACCCUUUAGUGGCGCAGCUAACGCGAUAAGUUGACCGCCUGGGGAGUACGCCGGCAACGGUAAAACUCAAAGGAAUUGACGGGGGCCCGCACAAGCGGUGGAGCAUGUGGUUUAAUUCGAUGCAACGCGAAGAACCUUACCUGGCCUUGACAUCCUGUGAACUUGGUAGAGAUACCUUGGUGCCUUCGGGAAUACAGUGA
rnacentral:rRNA from 1 species